GAUGAAGAACGUAGCGAAAUGCGAUACUUGGUGUGAAUUGCAGAAUCCCGUGAACCAUCGAGUCUUUGAACGCAAGUUGCGCCCGAAGCCAUUAGGCCGAGGGCACGCCUGCCUGGGCGUCACACGUCGUUGCCCCCCCAUCUACUCCUUCGGGAUUGCGGGGGGCGGAUGAUGGCCUCCCGUGCGCCUUGUCGCGCGGUUGGCAUAAAUACCAAGUCCUCGGCGACGCACGCCACGACAAUCGGUGGUUGCGAAACCUCGGUUGCCUGUCGUGUGCGGUCGUCGCGCAUCGAGGGCUCGAGAAAAUUGUCGGGCUCCGGCUCGGCUUUCAACGCGACCCCAGGUCAGGCGGGGUUACCCGCUGAAUUUAAGCAUAUCAAUAAGCGGAGGA
rnacentral:misc_RNA from 1 species